AUUUUGCCCCGAGGGGCGAGUUUAAGGGCAGCGCCACUCAUUCUGUGAGUGGACACACCGCCAUAGCAGCAUGUACAACACUCCCCAAUAGGAAGAAAACCCGCUGGGUUGUUCAUCCUGUCACGCUAGUGAGCAUGUUUCAGCAUUACGUGUUGCGUCGUAGUAUACAGGUGUGCGCUCAAGCGUUGCCUCACAACAUACAGGUGUGCGCUCAAGCGUUGUCUCUGAGAGAAUAAGAAUUUAUUCCCAUGGUUAGUUAGUUAGUUCUCUUUUUAUUCAGUUAUUUCCCUUUUUUGUCAUAUAUAUUAUAAUUAUAUGUAUAUGUCCGAGUACAAUUGUGUUGCCAGAAUAGUACACUCUCCAGGCUCCAGCUCUUGGGCCACCAACUGUUGGGUACUGGGGAUAAUCACUUGUGAGAGUACUCUGAGGACUGAGUACUAUGUGAGAGUACUCUGAGGACUGACUACUAUGUGAGAGUACUCAUAGGACUGUGUCACAUGUGAGAGUACUCUGAGGACUGUGUCACAUGUGAGAGUACUCAGAGGACUGUGUCUCAUGUGAGAGUACUCUGAGGACUGUGUCACAUGUGAGAGUACUCUGAGGACUGUGUACCAUGUGAGAGUACUCAGAGGACUGAGUACCAUGUGAGAGUACUCUGAGGACUGAGUACCAUGUGAGAGUACUCUGAGGACUGUGUCACGUGUGAGAGUACUCAGAGGACUGAGUACCAUGUGAGAGUACUCUGAGGACUGUGUCACGUGUGAGAGUACUCAGAGGACUGAGUACCAUGUGAGAGUACUCAGAGGACUGUGUACCAUGUGAGAGUACUCAGAGGACUGUGUACCAUGUGAGAGUACUCAGAGGACUGUGUACCAUGUGAGAGUACUCAGAGGACUGUGUACCAUGAAGACCAUCUACUCCGAGGACUGUGACAUAUUACUCUUAAGACUGUGUACUCUAAAGACUGAGUUACAUAUGAGAGUGACAGUUUCAAGUCUUUUGUAUUACCAUAUAAGUCGAUUUGUAUAGUUUAAGGUCUUUUUGUCUCCGGCAUUUUGCUGUUGACCCUCACGUAUGUUUAGACAAUGUUCAUUAUAUGGAUAUUUGACCUUUUCAUGUUUGAUAUCUAUGUACACUGUGAUCUUUGUAUGGUCAAUAAAGUUUGUUAUAGUUAA